rnacentral:rRNA from 1 species
GAGUUUGAUCCUGGCUCAGGACGAACGCUGGCGGCGCGCCUAACACAUGCAAGUCGAACGAGCGAGAGGGAGCUUGCUUUCUCGAGCGAGUGGCGAACGGGUGAGUAACGCGUGAGGAACCUGCCUCAAAGAGGGGGACAACAGUUGGAAACGACUGCUAAUACCGCAUAAGCCCACGGCUCGGCAUCGAGCAGAGGGAAAAGGAGCAAUCCGCUUUGAGAUGGCCUCGCGUCCGAUUAGCUGGUUGGUGAGGUAACGGCCCACCAAGGCGACGAUCGGUAGCCGGACUGAGAGGUUGAACGGCCACAUUGGGACUGAGACACGGCCCAGACUCCUACGGGAGGCAGCAGUGGGGAAUAUUGCACAAUGGGGGAAACCCUGAUGCAGCGACGCCGCGUGGAGGAAGAAGGUCUUCGGAUUGUAAACUCCUGUUGUUGGGGAAGAUAAUGACGGUACCCAACAAGGAAGUGACGGCUAACUACGUGCCAGCAGCCGCGGUAAAACGUAGGUCACAAGCGUUGUCCGGAAUUACUGGGUGUAAAGGGAGCGCAGGCGGGAAGACAAGUUGGAAGUGAAAUCUAUGGGCUCAACCCAUAAACUGCUUUCAAAACUGUUUUUCUUGAGUAGUGCAGAGGUACGCGGAAUUCCCGGUGUAGCGUGGAAUGCGUAGAUAUCGGGAGGAACACCAGUGGCGAAGGCGGCCUACUGGGCACCAACUGACGCUGAGGCUCGAAAGUGUGGGUAGCAAACAGGAUUAGAUACCCUGGUAGUCCACACCGUAAACGAUGAUUACUAGGUGUUGGAGGAUUGACCCCUUCAGUGCCGCAGUUAACACAAUAAGUAAUCCACCUGGGGAGUACGACCGCAAGGUUGAAACUCAAAGGAAUUGACGGGGGCCCGCACAAGCAGUGGAGUAUGUGGUUUAAUUCGACGCAACGCGAAGAACCUUACCAAGUCUUGACAUCCCUUGACGAUGCUGGAAACAGUAUUUCUCUUCGGAGCAAGGAGACAGGUGGUGCAUGGUUGUCGUCAGCUCGUGUCGUGAGAUGUUGGGUUAAGUCCCGCAACGAGCGCAACCCUUAUGGUCAGUUACUACGUAAGAGGACUCUGGCCAGACUGCCGUUGACAAAACGGAGGAAGGUGGGGAUGACGUCAAAUCAUCAUGCCCUUUAUGACUUGGGCUACACACGUACUACAAUGGCGUUAAACAAAGAGAAGCAAGACCGCGAGGUGGAGCAAAACUCAGAAACAACGUCCCAGUUCGGACUGCAGGCUGCAACUCGCCUGCACGAAGUCGGAAUUGCUAGUAAUCGUGGAUCAGCAUGCCACGGUGAAUACGUUCCCGGGCCUUGUACACACCGCCCGUC